rnacentral:lncRNA from 1 species
AGAAUUAAUUCUCCACGCAAAAGCUCCCACCUAGACAAAUGUUACUGGGAUUGUAGCCAUCCAAAAGCCCGGACACGGUGGAUAGGAUGAGCUAAGUACUAGGAAAAAAGUUCAACUCCUGCAGUUGCUAGGAAAUUUGUUUGAAUCUAAAUCAAAAUGAACUGUUCAAUUCAAAUUCAAAUUGAAUUUAAAAUUUUGAUUCAAAAUUUCUCUAAAUUUAAUUUAUGUUUAAAAAUUUCAUUGUGGGAGAAUCGAGAAAUCCAAACGUUUUUAGUUUUACAUGUGACCGGCAAGAAUUUUUCUGAACCCGAAAUCAACCAUGUCAAUGCGAAACAGAAACAAAGAUUUAUAUGAACACUACCUAAGGAUAUCUCUAAAAUCUUCCCCCACAAAUCCCUAAUUCCUCUCUCUCUCUCCCCUCGAACUAAACAUUGUGUUCCCAUCUCUCUAUGUGGUCAUCGAGAAUUUUUGUGAAUCAGGAAUCAACCAUGUCAAUGUGAUCAUUGAGAAUUGCUACAAUAGCUAGGAAAUUUAUUUCUCAGGUUUCUACAAGUCAAAAUAAAUAGUUCAACUCAAAAUUCAAUCAAUUAAAAAUUUGAUUCAAAAUUUCUUUAAAAUUUAAUUUAUGCUUACAAAUUCCGUUACAGGAGACCUAGAAAUUUAAGAAAACUUUUCGAUUUUACAUGUGAUGGUUAAUAUUUUUUACGAACCAUACAACGUGAAAAGAAAAUAGAGAUUUAUGCGAAUACUACUCUAAAGAUAUCUCCAGAAGCUUCCAAGAAUCCCUAAUUCCUCCCUCCAACAUCCCGUUCCCCUCCUCCUCCUCCUCUCUCUCUCUUCCCCCGGCUCCCUCUCUCUCCUCCGGAUAUCUUGG